rnacentral:rRNA from 1 species
CACGUAGGGCGCAAGCGUUGUCCGGAUUUAUUGGGCGUAAAGAGCUCGUAGGCGGUUCGUCACGUCGGCUGUGAAAUCCCGAGGCUCAACCUCGGGUCUGCAGUCGAUACGGGCGGACUGGAGUACUGCAGGGGAGACUGGAAUUCCUGGUGUAGCGGUGAAAUGCGCAGAUAUCAGGAGGAACACCGGUGGCGAAGGCGGGUCUCUGGGCAGUAACUGACGCUGAGGAGCGAAAGCGUGGGGAGCGAACAGG